ensembl:lncRNA
GGGCUGGGAGGGAGGCAGCUCCGGCAGCUCGCUCUCAGGGCUGCACACAGACCGAAUGCUACCGAUUCUGAGCCACAUCGGGUAGAGCGAGAGAGAGAGAGGUGUCGAACAAACGAAAUAUGAUGGCAUUGAGAGAGUGGAACACACCGCAAGCUUGCAGAGACGCUGAUAUUGAAGCUCCUGAGGCAAUGACUGCUUGAAGUCUGGAACGCAUGGACAUCACCAUGGACCAUUGCAGAACAUUCCACUUCUUUCCCUUAAAACCCACCUGGGUUGCUUUUGCAGUAUGUUUUGGGUCAUUCUCCAUCUGUAAAGUGAAGCGCCAUCCAAUCAACUUCGCUGAAUUUAGUUGAAACUGAGCAGACAAUAUAUCCCCAUAUACUUCAGAAUUAAUGUGGCUGCUUUUGUCUUCUGUCACAUCAUCAAUAAACACAAGUGACCCAGUGCCAUUGGAAGCCUUGCAUGACCAUGCCAUCACACUGCCUACACGUGUUUUACAGAGGAUGUGGUAUGCUUCAGAUCAUGAGCCGUUCCAAGCCUUCUCCAUACUUAUUUCUUCCCAUCAUUCUGGUACAGGUUGAUCUUAGUUUUAUCUGUCCAAAUAAUGCUGUUCCAGAACUGGGCUGGCGUUUUUAGAUGUUUUUUGGCAAAGUCUAAUCUAGCCUUUCUAUUCUUGAGUUUUAUGAAUGGUUUGCACUUUGUGGUGAACCCUUUGUAUUUGCUCUCAUUAAGUCUUCUCUUUAUGGUAGACUUGGAUAAUGAUUUGCCUACCUCCUGGAGAGUGUUCUUCACUUGGCUGGAUGUUGUGAAGGGUUUUUCUUCACCAUGGAAAGGAUCCUACGAUCAUCCACCACUGUUGUCUUCCAUGAACGUCCAGGCCUUUUUGUGUUGCAGAGCUCAACAGUGCAUUCUUUUUUUUCGCAGAAUGUACCAAACUGUUGAUUUGGCCACUCCAAAUGUUCCUGUCAUCUCUCAGAUGGAUUUUAUUUGCAGCCUAAGGAUGGCCUGUUUCACUUGCAUUGUUAGCUCCUUUGACUGCAUGUGGGGAGUUCACAGCAAAAGCUUCCAAAUGUGAAUGGCACGCUUGAAAUCCACUCCAGAUCUUUUUCCUGCUUAAUUGAUGAAGAAAUAACAAAGGAAUGUCCACACCUGUCAAUGAAACCGCUUUUGAGUCAAUUGUACAAUUACUUUUGGUCCCUUGAAAAAUAGGGGGCUACAUAUUAAAGAGCUGUAAAUCCUAAACCCUUCCUCCAAUUUGGAUGUGAAUACCCUCAAAUUAAAGCUGAGACCAUAUUCAUUAUGUAACUGUAACCUGAAUACAUUUAGGUAAACAGCCAAAAUAACAAAACUUGUGUCAAUGUCAAUUUUUUUUAAAUAUCAAUAUUGUUAUGUGUUUCCGAUAUUUUGUCCACCACUUGUAGUUACAUACCAGCAAUAUUCAAAGACCUCUUUAAUUGACUAAUACUCUACAAAGUAUACAAAAUAUGUGAAACACACUAUAGCAUGUAUACAGUGGAUAUAAAAAGUCUACACACCCCUGUUAAAAUGCCAGGUUCUUGUGAUGUAAAAGAAUGAGACAACGAUAAAUCAUGUCAGACAACGAUAAAUCAACUUUUUCCACCUUUACCAGGCAAUGUCCUUUAAUCGUUUUUCUUUGCAUGUUUCUAUCUGAUGUUUGCUGCACUAAAUUACUUGUGUUGCUGUUAAAAAAUAAAAUGCCAAAUAUGUGAUCCUUUUUUGGCCACUCCUCACUCCUCACUGGAUGGGUGCUUUGGGUCGUUGUCGUGUUGAAAGGUGAACUUCAUCUUCAGCUUUCAAAUGGACGCCUGAAGGUUUUGUGCGAAAAUUGCCUGGUAUUUGGAACUGUUCAUAAUUCCCUCCACCCAGACUAAGGACAGCUGAAGAAAAACAGCCCCAAUGUAACGGUCCCAGCCUGAUGGGACUGUUCCGCUUCGGGUUUUCUGUUUGUCCUUGGCUUGUCUUGUCCUUGUAUGGUCCUUCCUGUUCUUGUUUCAGUUUAUCAGUCUAUUCCUUUCACCCACCUGUUUCUGUUUUCCUUGUUAGCCUGUUUAUUUAGUUCAGCCAUGUUCUCCCAGUCCUUGUUGUUCAUUGUGCGUAGCACUCUGUUUUGUUUAUCAUUAAAAGACGCCGCAACCUCUGCGCCUGCCUUUGUCUCCCUCCUUGGAACGUGACACCCAAAGCAUGAUGCUGCCACCACCAUGCUUCAUGGUGGGUAUGGUGUUCUUUGAGUGAUGUGCAGAGUUUGUGCGCCAAACAUACCUUUUGGAAUUAUGGCCAAAAAGUUCAACCAUGGUUUCAUCAGACCAUAACACAUUUUCCCAUGUGCUUUUGGGGGACUUGAUGUUUGUUUUUGCAAACUACAGCUGGGCUUGGAUGUUUAUCUUUGUAAGAAAAGGCUUACGUCUUGCCACCCUUCCCCAUAGCCCAUUCAUAUGAAGAAUAUGGGAGAUUGUUGUCACAUGUGGCACACCGCUAGUACUUGCCAGAAAUUCCUGCAGUUCCUUUUGGAAGCCUCCCUGAACAGUUUUCUUCUCGUCUUUUCAAUUUUUGGAGGGACGUCCAGUUCUUGGUAAUGUCUCUGUUGUUCCAUAUUUUCUACACUUGAUUUUGACUGUCUUCACUGUGUUCCAUGGUAUAUCUAAUGCUUUGGAAAUUCUUUUGUACCCUUCUCCUGACUGAUAUCUUUCAACAAUGAGAUCCCUCUGAUGCUUUGGAAGCUCUCUGCGGACCAUGGCUUUUACUCUGAGAUGCAACUAAGAAAAUGUCAGGAAAACCCUACUAGAACAGCUGAACUUUAUUUGUGAUUAAUCAGAGUCACUUUAAAUGAUGGCAGGUGUGUAAUGACUUCUAUUUAAUAUGAGUUUGAAUGUGGGUUGAUUCUGAACAUAUCCCCAGUUAUAAGAGGGUGUGCACACUUAUGCAACCAUAUUAUUGUGAGUUUUUUAUUUUUCCCUCCUUAAAGUUUUUCAAUUGAAUUGUUCAUGUUAUAGGUCACAUUAAAAGUGGAAAAAGUUCUGACAUGAUUUAUCUUUGUCUCAUUCUUUUACAUUACAAAACCUGGCAUUUUCACAAGGGUGUGUAUACUUUUUAUAUACACUGGUAUGUGUGAGAAUGAUCAGAUAAUGAUCUAACUUAAUUUGUGGAGUUAGAUCAUUAACAUUUACUCUUUAUCCUAGACCAACAGAACAGCCCCAAACUCCCUGUUGCAUCAACAAUAGGACCCCCUUACCUAAGACACAACAGCUUUUUUGGAAAGGAAAGAAAAAGGUGCAGUUGUCCAGAGCUGUAUUUACCUAUAGCAACUAAUAUGUAAUAUGUACAGUAACAAAACAUACUGUAGAAUACCUCCCUUUAUGGGACACACAAAAAGACCAAACAACAGUGUAACUUAUCCAACAAUGUCAUUUUACUUCACUAAUAUGUCAUCCAUCACCAAAUGGGUUUGUCUGAGCGAGUCGGAUUUCUUUGACCCACCACCUUGUAUGUCCGAUGCCCCGCGGAAGCGAACAGCCUCAUUUGUACAAGAUGACAAUGUCCCACAGAAUUGCAACACCAGACAUUUCCCUUUCAUAGACUUUUCCAAAACACCUUUCUUCCAUUUGACCAAGUCUCUCCUGUAAAGGUUCAUAGUUUAGCCUUAUAACUGUCAGUUUCUCUUCUCUCAGCUGACUACAGGAGCCAUCUCUCUUCUGACACCAGUGUAGUGACCCGGGCCCAGGAGCUGUCAGACAAUGCCUUAACCAUUAAGCCACAAUGUCUGCAACUUCUUGAAGAAGUUGCUAGACACUGGAAACAGUAGAUACCACAGUCCUUCAAACCUUUUUAAUAUUCACAAACAGAACCAUGAUUAAAAAAUAUGGUGUAUAAAUAUUAGUAAUAUUAUAUAGGGC